UUCCCCUGUCUACUGUUGCAGUUUCUGAAUGCCAGCUUGCAGGAAUGAUGUGAUGGUAGACAAGAGUUCAUGCUGCCUGCUGCUGUAAGGAAUCACCUGAGGACAUUUCUGGACCACUGAAUGACCAUGGCUGGUACAGGCCACUGAGAGGCUUAGUUAUGUGGUGCAUUGCUUGCUAUUUAUAAACACUCAGCAGUCAUGUCCUCCAGACUCUUGCAGUGACAGAUGGAGAAGA